AAUAGAUACCCCGGUAGUCCUGGCCGUAAACGAUGUCGACUAGAUCGUGGUAGCUCUGACGCUUUCACGGUCGAAGCAAAAGUGCUAAGUCGACCGCCUGGGAAGUACGGUCGCAAGGCUAAAACUCAAAGGAAUUGACGGGGGGCUCACACAAGCGGUGGAGCAUGUGGUUCAAUUCGAAGCAACGCGCAGAACCUUACCUGGGCUUGACAUGCUAGGAUUAUCCCUAUGAAAGUAGGGUAGGCCCUUCGGGGUACAACUAGUACAGGUGCUGCAUGGCUGUCGUCAGCUCGUGUCGUGAGAUGUCGGGUUAAGUCCCUUAACGAGCGAAACCUUUGCCCUUAGUUACCAUCGGGUUAUGCCGGGGACUCUAAGGGGACUGCUGGUGUCAAACCGGAGGAAGGUGGAGAUGACGUCAAGUCCUCAUGGCCUUUAUGCCCAGGGCCACACACGUGCUACAAUGGCGUCCACAAAGCGAACCGAGAGCGCAAGCUGGAGGAAAUCGCACAAAUGACGCCCCAGUUCAGA
rnacentral:rRNA from 1 species